AGAGUUUGAUCCUGGCUCAGAGUGAACGCUGGCGGCAGGCCCAACACAUGCAAGUCGAGCGGCAGCGCGGGGGCAACCCUGGCGGCGAGCGGCGGACGGGUGAGGAAUACAUCGGAAUCUACCCAGUCGUGGGGGAUAACGUAGGGAAACUUACGCUAAUACCGCAUACGACAUGAGGGUGAAAGCAGGGGACCGCAAGGCCUUGCGCGAUUGGAUGAGCCGAUGUCCGAUUAGCUAGUUGGUGAGGUAAAGGCUCACCAAGGCGACGAUCGGUAGCUGGUCUGAGAGGAUGAUCAGCCACACUGGAACUGAGACACGGUCCAGACUCCUACGGGAGGCAGCAGUGGGGAAUAUUGGACAAUGGGCGCAAGCCUGAUCCAGCCAUGCCGCGUGUGUGAAGAAGGCCUUCGGGUUGUAAAGCACUUUUGUUCGGGAAGAAAUCUUCCGACCUAAUACGUCGGGAGGAUGACGGUACCGAAAGAAUAAGCACCGGCUAACUUCGUGCCAGCAGCCGCGGUAAUACGAAGGGUGCAAGCGUUACUCGGAAUUACUGGGCGUAAAGCGUGCGUAGGUGGUUCGUUAAGUCUGCCGUGAAAGCCCCGGGCUCAACCUGGGAAUGGCGGUAGAUACUGGCGGACUAGAGUGCGGUAGAGGGUGGUGGAAUUCCCGGUGUAGCAGUGAAAUGCGUAGAGAUCGGGAG
rnacentral:rRNA from 1 species